UACAGAGGGGGCAAGCGUUGUCCGGAAUUACUGGGCGUACAGCGCGCGCCAGGCGGUUGCCGACGUGCCGUGUGACAAACGGGGGCUCAACCCCCGAGGGCCACGGUAAACGGGGCGACUGGAGGAAGGGAGAGGGAUGUGGAAUGCCCGGUGGAGCGGUGAAAUGCGUAGAGAUCGGGCGGAACACCCAGCGGCGAAAAGCGGCGCGCUGGACCACUACUGACGCUGAGGAACGAAAAGCUAGGGGGGAGCAAAACAGG
rnacentral:rRNA from 1 species